UGUGACGUGACCGCAUGGUCUGCGUUUGGAAAGAUUUUUCGGUUGGGGAUGGGCUCGCGGCCUAUCAGCUUGUUGGUGAGGUAAUGGCUCACCAAGGCGUCGACGGGUAGCCGGCCUGAGAGGGUGACCGGCCACACUGGGACUGAGACACGGCCCAGACUCCUACGGGAGGCAGCAGUGGGGAAUAUUGCACAAUGGGCGAAAGCCUGAUGCAGCAACGCCGCGUGAGGGAUGACGGCCUUCGGGUUGUAAACCUCUUUUAGCAGGGAAGAAGCGAAAGUGACGGUACCUGCAGAAAAAGCGCCGGCUAACUACGUGCCAGCAGCCGCGGUAAUACGUAGGGCGCAAGCGUUAUCCGGAAUUAUUGGGCGUAAAGAGCUCGUAGGCGGUUUGUCGCGUCUGCUGUGAAAUCCCGAGGCUCAACCUCGGGCCUGCAGUGGGUACGGGCAGACUAGAGUGCGGUAGGGGAGAUUGGAAUUCCUGGUGUAGCGGUGGAAUGCGCAGAUAUCAGGAGGAACACCGAUGGCGAAGGCAGAUCUCUGGGCCGUAACUGACGCUGAGGAGCGAAAGGGUGGGGAGCAAACAGGCUUAGAUACCCUGGUAGUCCACCCCGUAAACGUUGGGAACUAGUUG
rnacentral:rRNA from 1 species